rnacentral:rRNA from 1 species
ACGCUGGCGGCGUGCCUAAUACAUGCAAGUAGAACGCUGAAGGAGGAGCUUGCUUCUCUGGAUGAGUUGCGAACGGGUGAGUAACGCGUAGGUAACCUGCCUGGUAGCGGGGGAUAACUAUUGGAAACGAUAGCUAAUACCGCAUAACAGUAGAUGUUGCAUGACAUUUGCUUAAAAGGUGCAAUUGCAUCACUACCAGAUGGACCUGCGUUGUAUUAGCUAGUUGGUGGGGUAACGGCUCACCAAGGCGACGAUACAUAGCCGACCUGAGAGGGUGAUCGGCCACACUGGGACUGGGACACGGCCCAGACUCCUACGGGAGGCAGCAGUAGGGAAUCUUCGGCAAUGGACGGAAGUCUGACCGAGCAACGCCGCGUGAGUGAAGAAGGUUUUCGGAUCGUAAAGCUCUGUUGUAAGAGAAGAACGAGUGUGAGAGUGGAAAGUUCACGCUGUGACGGUAUCUUACCAGAAAGGGACGGCUAACUACGUGCCAGCAGCCGCGGUAAUACGUAGGUCCCGAGCGUUGUCCGGAUUUAUUGGGCGUAAAGCGAGCGCAGGCGGUUAGAUAAGUCUGAAGUUAAAGGCUGUGGCUUAACCAUAGUACGCUUUGGAAACUGUUUAACUUGAGUGCAAGAGGGGAGAGUGGAAUUCCAUGUGUAGCGGUGAAAUGCGUAGAUAUAUGGAGGAACACCGGUGGCGAAAGCGGCUCUCUGGCUUGUAACUGACGCUGAGGCUCGAAAGCGUGGGGAGCAAACAGGAUUAGAUACCCUGGUAGUCCACGCCGUAAACGAUGAGUGCUAGGUGUUAGACCCUUUCCGGGGUUUAGUGCCGCAGCUAACGCAUUAAGCACUCCGCCUGGGGAGUACGACCGCAAGGUUGAAACUCAAAGGAAUUGACGGGGGCCCGCACAAGCG